GGGGGUGUGGUCUAGUGGUUACGACAUCUGCUUCGCAAGCAGAGGGUCCCCAGUUCGAACCUGGGCUCCUCCA